ACGGCCCAGAUCUCUUCAACCCGUUUAAACCCCUAGAGACCAACUCAAUCCCCUCAAACCCUAAUCAUUCGUCUUCCAGACUCGGUCUCCCCCUUUCCCCUUCCUCUCUCUAUUCUAUCAAACCCCAUACCCCAUCAAUCACAGAAACCUUGCACCAAAUCAUGCAAGGUUGUAAAUCAUGACUUCAAAUCAUCCUUUGUGCCUUCUAACUCCGCGAAUCUCACCGAUGUCUCCUUGUUUCAUCAUAUGAAUUCAAAAUCUCACAUUUUCUGACUUAGACUUAAAGAUGAAACUUCAAGUCUUCAAGAUCCUCUUGUGCUGCAACAAAAUCAGAGCAUGCAUGAGCAUCUCAUUAUGUUUAUUUGAAAUCAGAGGUCAAAUACACUGACCUCUGGAUUAUCGGUCUUUGUCCGAUGGUUUUCUCACCUGCAAUGACUGUCUUCCACUCAGGUAAAACUCCUAUGAUUUUCUGUUAUGAUCUUUUGAUUUUCACUCAUUUUGCUAGCAUCAUCAAUCUCUCCUUCACUCUCCACUAUCGAUUUGAAUUUUUGUUAAACCCUAAGUCUUCAAUGGCCAUUAUAAAUAGGAGACUUCAAUGCUUACACCUAACACUACCUAACACCUAAAACAGAAUAGAAAAAAAAUAGAAAGCUUAAGAGAAUAAAAUCCCUAAACUUCUCACUGAUUUUCUUUUCCUUCUCUGGCACCGAGUUAGUCCAUUGUUCGAGCUUGAGUUAGAAUUCUUAACGGUUAAACAAGAAGUUUUUGUUUGGUUUGCUACUCCGUAGAAGGUCAGUGUACACCGGCCUUCCCUUUCUUUUGAUCAUUCAUAUUGUUUUGUGCUAUAUCAUAUUUUCUUUUGUUGGUUAUUUUCAUCCAUGAUGCAUGUUAGUAGUUUGUCAUUGAUUAUUAGGUUCCGUUCUUACUUUUUAUCAUUAUUGAUUGAGUUAAUCAUCUCCUUAUAAUUUGUGUUAGUAAGGCUGGUUAAUCUAUGUUAAUGAACUUCAUGACUUAACUGGAUAAAUAGUUGUUAUUAGAGAAUGAUAUAUACUUUUCUGAGCUUUGUUCAUUGUUUAGGAAUCUUCUGAUGUUUCUGAAUGUGUUUGUUAACUGUAAUACCAUAUUUAGUUAGCUUGAUCAAGCAGUAUUCUUUAAACAUCUCUUGAUAUCCUGUCGAGGGUUGAUGUCUUCUACAUUUGUGCUAUAUUGUCUAUUGAAGCUAAGCAAUUCUAUAUCAUUUGUUAGCAUGUAUUUUCCUCAUAAAUCUAUGUUAUACCCACUUAAGUUGUUUUCUUAGAAUGAUUAAUCUGUUAUUGAAACCAUGCCUACCUUAACAUGUAAAACUCACAUGAUUUUGUGACUUGAACUUCUGUGGUGGAUUCACUAGCUUAGUUGUCACAUCUGCUCACUUGAUAUGUUAUAUAAUCUUGCAAACCUCAAGAAAUACCAAAUUGUGUGUGUAUAUAUAUAUAUAUAUAUAUAUAUAUAUAAUAUAUNNNNNNNNNNNNNNNNNNNNNNNNNCUACUACUAACUAACUAACUAACUAACUAAGUAGUGUGUAUAUAUAUAUAUAUAUAUAUAUAUAUAUAUAUAUAUAUCCUUGGGAUGCUUCCCCUCAUGCUUUUGUAAUUCUGAGACCUCUUAAGAGAUUACUGUAAAGGUGAUCCUAUCCAUUUCUUUGGUUAUGUGAUCAUAUAUGUGAAGCCUCACCUAAUAGUAAAUAUGUCCUGAAAUGAGACUGGUUUAAGUUCUAAUGAAUUUUUAUAGUUAAUAUGAAGUCAGACUGCUACUGUUGACAUAGACCAAGCAUGUUUAGAAUUUUCUUCAGGGACCUGAUUAAGAAAUAGAAUUUGGUUAAGAGUUAUAGAUAUUGUACAUAUAUAUCACCCCCUUAACUGACCAUACCAAGUUAAACUUCACCAUGCUUGGGCUGAUGCAUUCACCUGUGUAACUGGGCUAGUUAUCUUGCUACUAGUACCCUGCUUAUUCCAUGUGAAACCUUCUUUGCUCUGAACUUUUAUACUGAAUUUUGUUGGCCUGACCCUGUGCUCUAUCAUGUUGUAGUCUUACACUCAUUAGGGACAUUUCUUGGAUGUGUUUGAUUGUCUGCUCUUGUAUUUCUAUACUCAUUCCUGUUAUCAAACAGACAUAUGCUUAUCUUUCAUACUCAUGCAUAUGUUCUCACAUUGCCCUAUCACAUAAUGAAGAUUGAACCUUGCUAAGUUUGCAUAAGUCAACUAUGAUUCAUUUGUGGAUUUGAGAGAGACUUCUGAUGAUAUCAUGACUUUUUUAAGGAGAAAGUCAUCAUCCAUUAGAGUUGAAACUAAUUUGUUUACUUAAAUAGUCAUGUUGAUGCUCUUUAAAGAUCCUAUAUGACACUAUUAACCCAUACACCUAUUAGAGCUUAAAACUUGACCUGUGCAUGCACCCCGAUUAACUUAAGCCUUGAUUGUUAAGUUUGAGGACCUCUGUAGAUUUGAACUAUGUACCUCUUUUACUUCUUAAGUUGCGUGACUUAAUGGUUUGAACGAUUGAAAUAAUCUUCUACUAAUCUUUUUCCUUAAUUGUACAUGUAAUUUUUUUCUAUGGACAUUCUUCUACAUAUUAGUGGUUCUUAACAAUGAACUACACAUUGGUGUUUGGGUUGAGACCCGUGUAAACUUUGAAGUGCCAGGGACUCAAAGGGUAUCUUGACUAUAAAUGUAAUUUCACCUUAAGCUCUUAAUCAUUGAUAUUUGCCAAUCUCUUUAGGGUUAGUGUCUAAUGAAGAAAAGGCUUCACUGUAAUUUUCCUUACUUUAUUUUAUUUCAGACAAUUUCAUUUGCAUUCUUGACCACAAAUAUUUGUUAUAGUCUCAUUUGAGCCUUGUGUUUGAUCUUAUCUGUAUUUAAAUAUUUUGUUGGGCUUCGUAAAUAAUUUUUACCUUUUUCUCUUGACCAUGUAACUGAACUGGCCCUGUUGAGUUUUAAAGAAUUCAGGCCUCAAGUUCCAGCCUUCGAGUCUGAAGUCACGGGAGCCGCUGCUGCUUGUCUGCUGUUCGCUGGGCCUAACCUUCUUCAGGCCUAAAUUACCUAGUCGUGUUCCUUUUCCUUCCUCAUUAUUAGAUAAUCUGAAUCUGUUAUAUUUUUCUUUAUAUGUGUAUAAUACUAACGAUAUUGAUUGGAUAUUUUAUUUUCCUUAAGACCUUUAGGAACCUAGGCAAGCCAAGAUACAUAGGUAAUAAAAAAAUCACUAUUACGUUACAAUUAGCCAUAAAAUUUUGGCACUUUGAUAAUUUAUUUCAUAGGAUUUUAUUUUGAAUCACUCUAACCAUUUUAAUUGAGUUCUUUGAAGUUCAAAGCAGAUUUGAAAAGCAAUGCAAUUCUUCUAAAGCCAGAAUUGAAAAGGGAUAUUUCAAAUUA
rnacentral:lncRNA from 1 species